rnacentral:rRNA from 1 species
GAUGAACGCUGGCGGCGUGCCUAAUACAUGCAAGUCGAGCGAACAGACGAGGAGCUUGCUCCUUUGACGUUAGCGGCGGACGGGUGAGUAACACGUAGGUAACCUACCUAUAAGACUGGGAUAACUUCGGGAAACCGGAGCUAAUACCGGAUAAUAUUUCGAACCGCAUGGUUCGAUAGUGAAAGAUGGCUUUGCUAUCACUUAUAGAUGGACCUGCGCCGUAUUAGCUAGUUGGUAAGGUAACGGCUUACCAAGGCAACGAUACGUAGCCGACCUGAGAGGGUGAUCGGCCACACUGGAACUGAGACACGGUCCAGACUCCUACGGGAGGCAGCAGUAGGGAAUCUUCCGCAAUGGGCGAAAGCCUGACGGAGCAACGCCGCGUGAGUGAUGAAGGUCUUCGGAUCGUAAAACUCUGUUAUUAGGGAAGAACAAACGUGUAAGUAGCUGUGCACGUCUUGACGGUACCUAAUCAGAAAGCCACGGCUAACUACGUG